GCUCACUCAGAGAUCUCGACUGCGGUCUAUGUGGUUAACAGUUCAAGGUUCACUGCGGAAGCGUCCACUGAGCGGCGCCCCUUAUUUAAUAUAUUUUGCAGAUAAAGUAGGUGUUUAGGGAAAGAUAGAUUUAUUUAGGAAAGUGAGGAUAUUUAUUGGAUAGGAUGGAGCCAGCAAGGAAGAGGAGGAUCUCCCCUGUAUGAGAACACCUUGAUCUGAUAUCUCCUAACAAGGUAAGCUUUAUCAAACAUUAAGUCAAAAUCAUUAGGUUUACAUAUCAACAAGUAUUUGUCAUAGUUCCAUGUUUUUUUCAAAGGUGAGAUGUUUAGUGUGUUCCAAGGAAUUGGGAUGUUAAGGCAUUACCGUGCCUUUCAUGAGAAUAUGGACGAAGUAAGAGCUUCAUCUUCCCAUGCCACCAGAAAACAGGAACUUGAUGAAGCCCUUGUUUCUAUGAUUGUGAAGGACACACAACCCUUCACUAUUGUGGAAGACAUUGGAUUCAGGGGGUUUGUGUCCAAAUUGGAUCCCAAUUAUGUUCUCCCUACAAGACAGAUAUGCUUUGAAGGCCAUGGUGGAGGACAAAUAUGAGGCAGAAAAGGAGAAGACAAAGGCUAAAAUUCAAAAGGCAGCUGCUGUUAGCCUUACUUCAGAUAUGUGGACAACCAUGAAUUUGGAUGCCUACCUGGCUAUUACUUGCCAUUUUGUUGGUGAGAAGUCCAAGCUCUGCUCAGUGUUGUUGGGAGUGCAAGAAUUCCCCCAGUCACACACUGCUGAAAAUAUUGCUCAUGAGAAAGCCUCAUUGAUGGCAGAAUGGGGAAUCACCAAUAAAGUGACAUGUUUUGUCACAGAUGGUGCUCCCAACAUGGUUGCGUGUGUGAUAGAGCUAAAGCUUCGGCAUCACAUUUGCAUUGCCCAUACUCUUAAUCUGGUGGUUAAGAAAACACUGGAGCAGAACCCUAUUCUCUCUGGCAUCCGGGCCAAAGCAAGGAAGCCGGUUGGCUUCUUUAGA